AACUUUUCAACAACGGAUCUCUUGGUUUCGGCAUCGAUUGAAGAAACGCCAGCCAAAAUGCGAUAAGUAAUGUGAAUUCGCAGAAUUCAGUGAAUCAUCGAAUCUUUGAACGCACAUUUGCGCCCGCCUGGUAUUCCGGCGGGCAUUGCCUGUUCGAGCGUCAUUU
rnacentral:rRNA from 1 species